ACACUGUCCACCAACAGACACCCAUGAUGAGGGCUGUCAGUUGAUCUGACACUCCCAGUUACUACUGAUUGCUCAUCAUUGUUCUACUUCUACUUCAUAAGGCUUUCCAGCAUCAUGUGUUACCUGCAUCAUCACUGAAUAUUCUCAUGGCCUUCAAAACACAGCUGUGUAUUUAGAGUCUGCUUCUUCAAUGCAUUGCCAUCUCUGCCCCUCUGCCUGCCCUGGGUGCACAGGUGUUAAGCUUGGUACAGACUCUGACUUCGUGUCUAUGAUGUGUUAUCACAAAUAGUUAACCUUGCUCCUUUGGAAGACUGUGGCCAAGACUGCAAGCUUAAAAGAAAACAUUUUGAGAAAAUUAUUAUUAAAAGUCGUCAACAUGCACAAUUUGAGAUGCACCUUGGUAUAAAAGAAUGAUUUCAAAAUGUUGAGGAUAAGUAAAAUUUUGGCAAACCAUUCAAUAUCAGAAUCUAUGCCCCAACCACUAAUGCUGAAGAAGCUGAAGUUGAAGACUUCAAUGAAGUCUGUGGAGACCUACAGGACCUUCUAGAACUAACACCCAAAAAAGAUGUCAUUGUCAUUAUAAGAGACUGGAAUGCAAAAGUAGGAAGAGAUACCUGGAAUAACAGGCAUGUUUGGCCUUGGAGUACAAAAUGAAGCAGGGCAAAAGCUAAUAGAGUUCUGUCAAGAGAAUGCACUGGUCAUGGCAAACAUUGUCUUCCAGCAACACAAGAGAAGACUCUACACAUGGGCAUCACCAGAUGGUCAAUACUGAAAUCAGAUUGAUUAUAUUCUUUGCAGCUAAAGAUGGAGAAACUCUAUACAGUCAGCAAAAACAAGACCAGGAACUGACUGUGGCUCAGAUCAUGAACUCCUCAUUGUAAAAUUCAGACUUAUAUUGAAGAAAGUAGGGAAAACCACUAGACAAUUCAGGUAUGACCUAAAUAAAAUUGCUUAUGAUUAUACAGUGGAAGUGAAAAAUAGAUUCAAGGGAUCAGAUCUGAUAGACAAGAGUGCCUGAAGAACUAUGGAUGGAGGUUCAUGACAUCAUACAGGAGGCAGGGAUCAAGACCAUCCCCAAGAAAAAGAAAUGCAAAAAGGCAAAAUGGCUGUCUGAGGAGGCCUUACAAAUAGCUGAGAAAAGAAGAGAAGUGAAAGGCAAAGGAGAAAAGAAAAGAUAUACCCACUGAAAUCAGAGUUCCAAAGAAUAGCAAGGAGAGAUAAGAAAGCCUUCCUUAAUGAUCAAUGCAAAGAAAUAGAGGAAAACAACAGAAUGGGAAAGACUAGAGAUCUCUUCAAGAAAAUUAGAGAUACCAAGGGACCAUUUCAUGCAAAGAUGGGCUCAAUAAAGGACAGAAAUAGUAUGGACCUUACAGAAUCAGAAUAUAUUAAGAAGAGGUGGUGAGAAUACACAGAAGAACUAUACAAAAAAGAUCUUCAUGACCCAGAUAAUCACGAUGGAGUGAUCACUCGCCUAGAGCCAGACAUCCUGGAAUGAGAAGUCAACUGGGCCUUAGGAAGCAUCACUAUGAACAAAGCUAGAGGAGGGGAUGGAAUUCCAGUUGAGCUAUUUCAAAUCCUAAAAGAUGAUGCUGUGAAAGUGCUGCACUCAAUAUGGCAGAAAAUCUGGAAAAUUCAGCAGUGGCCACAGGACUGGAAAAGUUAUGUAUGGAUAUGAGAGUUGGACUAUAAAGAAAGCUGAGCACUGAAGAAUUGAUGUUUUUGAACUGUGGUGUUGGAGAAGACUCUUGAGAGUCCCUUGGACUGCAAGGAGAUCCAACCAGUCCAUCCUAAAGGAGAUCAGUCCUGGAUGUUCAUUGGAAGGACUGAUGCUGAAGCUGAAGCUCCAAUACUUUGGCCACCUGAUGCGAAGAACUGACUCAAUGAUUCUGGGAAAGAUUGAAGGCGGGAGGAGAAGGGGGCAACAGAGGAUGAAAUGGUUAGAUGGCGUCACCGACUCGAUGGACAUGAGUUUGAGCAAGCUCCAGGAGUUGGUGAUGGACAGGGAGGCCUGGCGUGCUGCAGUCCAUGGGGUCGCAAAGAGUCGGACACAACCGAACGACUGAACUGAAUGUGAAUAUAGGGCAAUGCAGAAAGCCUUUCCAAAGAGCGGCCUUAAUAGUUUUGAAUUCUACACGUAAUACUAAUGAAGACCUAUGGCUUUAUCUAACUGUGGACAAAAUAGUGUUUUGUACAGAAAUGAGAGUGGAUUCAAGGCGGAAACAGUGGCAGAGAUUAACAGGCUCUGUGGAGCAGUCUAACAUUAUUUCUCAGUAAUCAGUGCAUAACUUAUCUUGUUUAAUACUUGUCACAAAUUAUUGAUGUAUUGUAGUAAAUACAGAGUAAAAUAUCAAAUAUGCUGAUAACAGUAAUUUUUUUUCACCAUUGUCCUGAAUGGUAGGGCUCGGGGUAAGGAGUUUGGUGGUGACCAAAAAGAUGACAGAGGAUUUGAUGAGUG
ensembl:lncRNA